rnacentral:rRNA from 1 species
UUUCGCAUGGAGGCACUCUGACGCAGUAACGCCGCGUGGGGGAAGAAGACCUUCGGGUUGUAAACCUCUUUUUAUGGAGACGAGUGAGGACGGUAUUCAUAGAAUAAGUCUCGGCUAACUACGUGCCAGCAGCCGCGGUAAUAGACGUAGGUGGCAAGCGUU